rnacentral:rRNA from 1 species
UACGGAGGGGGCUAGCGUUGUUCGGAAUUACUGGGCGUAAAGGGCGCGUAGGCGGCGGGUCAAGUCGAGUGUGAAAGCCCCGGGCUCAACCUGGGAAUUGCGCUCGAGACUGGUCUGCUUGAGUUCGGGAGAGGAGCGUGGAAUUCCCAGUGUAGAGGUGAAAUUCGUAGAUAUUGGGAAGAACACCGGUGGCGAAGGCGGCGCUCUGGACCGAGACUGACGCUGAGGCGCGAAAGCGUGGGGAGCAAACAGG